rnacentral:rRNA from 1 species
UACGUAGGGUGCGAGCGUUGCCCGGAUUUACUGGGCGUAAAGGGUGCGUAGGCGGUUGUUUAAGUCUGUUGUGAAAUCCCCGGGCUCAACCUGGGGAUGGCAAUGGAUACUGGGCAGCUAGAGUGUGUCAGAGGAUGGUGGAAUUCCCGGUGUAGCGGUGAAAUGCGUAGAGAUCGGGAGGAACAUCAGUGGCGAAGGCGGCCAUCUGGGACAACACUGACGCUGAAGCACGAAAGCGUGGGGAGCAAACAGG